GGGAGGCUCUUCGGAGCUUUCGCUGAAGGAGGGGCUUGCGUCUGAUUAGCUAGUUGAGGGUAACGGCCACCAAGGCGACGGAUCAGUAGCCGGUCUGAGAGGAUGAACGGCCACAUUGGGACUGAGACACGGCCCAGACUCCUACGGGAGGCAGCAGUGGGGGAAUCUUCCGCAAUGGACGAAAGUCUGACGGAGCAACGCCGCGUGAACGAUGACGGCCUUCGGGUUGUAAAGUUCUGUUAUACGGGACGAAUGGCGUAGCGGUCAAUACCCGUUACGAGUGACGGUACCGUAAGAGAAAGCCACGGCUAACUACGUG
rnacentral:rRNA from 1 species